rnacentral:piRNA from 1 species
AGAACUUCAAGUAGAGUGCCUGGUCGU